rnacentral:lncRNA from 1 species
AAAAAUUGAAGUGACACUGACCGGUGGGUCCCGUAGACACAUCCCCAGGGGGGAAAAGGGGAGAGAAAAUCCCACCGCAGGGCGCAGGCCACGCCUUCCGCUUGACCGCUUCCACUCCGCCAAGCGGCUGCCGGUGUGGUCUCUCUCCCCGGACGGUUCCGCCUCGCCCGCUUCAGCCAGCCGCUGCCAGGGGUCUCCGCAUCCGACUUCACCUCCGUGUCGACGCUGAUGGUUCUCCCCGUCAAGGUCAAGUGCCCCGCUUGGUGCCAAUGCCACUCAAUUUUGAUUGGUUUAAAUUGGUUCCAGAUUUGUUUUGUGGUAUGCCUAAGCGUAGCACCGUCUUUUUCUGUGUAAUCUGCUGCUAGUGAUUGCCAAUCAUGGUGUCCGAAAUCUGCGAUUGCACUUAGGGCCCGUUUGUUUGGAUUAGGGGGUAUUUCAUUGCAAUGCGUUUGUAUCUACUUAAGAACUCCCCAGAUAUGCUCAUGGUGCAUCCACCCGCGCAUUUUCCUGUAAUUUUCUGUUGCCAUGAAUCUCUUUCACUAAUUUGAAGGUACAAUUCGAAGGCAUUCAACUUCGAUUAUUCACCAGCACACGCCUCGCACUGCUAGUGGGAGUAGACUGAUAUCAUAAACUUUUACCCGUAAAUGCAUAUAGUGGCAAAACUACCUGCCAUGAUUCCAGACGUACUCAAACAUAGUAGCAAUCGUCACUCGAUUUUAUUGAUGCAUUUCCCAUAUAUAAUAUUUUUGCCAUUUGUUUGUCAUGACUUUAAUUUGUUAUAUUUAGUCCUUCACGAAAUACAUGGCAUUUUUCCAAUUUCUAAUGUCAAAGAUGUUUGGUUACAUAUACACAUCUGCACUUAUGGAUGAUUAGGAUUCCACUUUUUUUUCCAGCUAGACAUAUGAGUGCUAGGGUACCAUUGUUCCUAAUGCUUUAAUAAACAGCUAUGAGUCCCUUUAGGUGGCUGGUUUAAUUUGUGAACACGCAAGCUUAUUUCAGCAGCUGGUGGGAUCGAAGCUAGCUUAAACAUGCUACAAUAGUUAUCAUUAAGUAUUUACAGGCCAAAAUGGGCAAAAAGUUAUUUGUGUGUCUCAUUUAUUUAUCGGAAAAGGUCCAAUUUACUACCCAAAACUAAUUUUAUGGAAAUAAAUAUUCUUAAUUGCAAUGCUAAAGCCUUCCUAACAUUAUCUGUAGCCCAUUGCUGCCGAACGCAGGUACUGUUCACACAAUAAUAAUCAGCUUAAACGGUACUGCUGUAAAGUGGCCAUAGUGUUAAUAACAUUCAGUAUGUAUUCCCCUAACAAAAUAUCAUUCAGUAUAUAGCCAUAUCCAUUUUCUUACACCUCUAUGUUGGUUCAUACACAUAUUAAUGUUACAAUGUGCAGGAGGGAUGCCGGACACUAUGGAAGUGAUUGGACAAAGGAAGAAGAAUCAGGAGGAGUGGGGAUAGCAGCUGCUCCAUCAAGCAUUUGUGUCACCUUCAGCAUUGUAGGUCUCAUAGUAGGGUCCUCCUGGAGACACCACAAUGCCACAGCCACAUACCUUUCUACCUUCUUCAAAUCGAAAAUUGCUUCAUCAUCACCGUCAACC